CAGCAUCCGCGGUAAUACCGGCUCCACAAGUGGCAACCACGUUUAUUGGGCCUAAAGCGUCCGUAGCCGGUUGAAUAAAUCUUUUGUGAAAUCGUCAGGCUUAACUUGACGGCGUGCAGAAAACCCUGUUUAACUCGAGUCCGGGAGGAGUCGUAGCUAGUUUCCUGAUAGCGGUGAAAUGCGGAUAUAUCGGGGGGAACACCCGUGGCGAAAGCGGCUUUCUGGUCUGACUCUGACCCUGAAGAGCCAAAGCUAGGGGAGCCAACAGGAUUAGAUUCCCUGGUAGUCAUAGCUGUUCCUGAAGCUAGCAAGGUGUUGCACAUUUCUAGAGAAUGUGCAGGGUCGAAACGAGGUGUUAAGCUAGCGGCCUAGGAAGUACUGUCGCAAGACUGAAACUUGAAGUAAUUGGGCGCGUAGCACCACAAGUGGGUGCGCGUGCGGUUUAAUCUAACUCAACGCAUGAAAACCUUACUAGAGCGACGGCAGGAAGACGGCGCGGUUGAAGACCGUUCCCGAUGAGGCGAGAGGAAGUGCAUGGCCGCUGUCAGCUCAUGCUGGAAUGUAUCCAGUAAAGUCUGGCAACGAGGGAGAACUAUACCCUGCUUUGCUAAACAGCAACACGUUGGACUGAGCACUUUGGGGGGACUGCCUUGGAAAUAAGGACUAAGGUUUAGGUAAGUGUAGGUCUGCAUGCUCCGAAUAUGGUGGUCUACACGCGCGCAACAAUUAGGGAGCAUACCCGCUGCAACUCUGAGAAGAGAAGCUAAUCCUCUAAACCCUAUCCAAGUCCAGAUGGAGGGCUGCAAUUCGCCCUCAUGACGCUGGAAUCCCUAGUAAUCGGAGUUCAACACGCUCCGGUGAAUACGUCCCUGCUCCUUGCACACACCGCCCGUCAAACCAACCGAGCAGGGUUUAUAUGAGGCUUAGUGGCUUUGAAGAAGUUGAAAAUAUGCCGAAUAUAAGCUCAGUAGGGCGGGUUAAGUCGUAACAAGGUAACCGGA
rnacentral:rRNA from 1 species